rnacentral:RNase_P_RNA from 1 species
ACAGGGGACUGCUCCAUCGCCUGUGGCUCCGGCCACGGGAGGAAAGUCCGGACAGCACAGGGCAUCCUGCUUCCUAACGGGAAGGGCGCUUGCCACGGCAGGCGUACAGCACGUGCAACAGAAAGCAAACCGCCCCGGCUUGCCGGGGUAAGGGUGAAAGGGUGGGGUAAGAGCCCACCGGUUCCGAUGGUGACAUCGGAAGCCAGGUAAACCUCAGGAGCUGAAAGACCAAAUACACCGGCGCCCGAGGGCGGCCCGUCCGAUGCCGGAGGGUAGGUCGAUCGAGGUACGGAGUGAUCCGUAUCCCAGAUAAAUGAUGGAGACCUCCUGCCCGGGAGGCGACAGAAUCCGGCUUACAGGUCCCCUGUCCUC